UGUUGGGUUAAGUCCCGCAACGAGCGCAACCCUCACUGUUAGUUGCCAUCGGGUAAAGCUGGGCACUCUAACGGAACUGCCGGUGACAAGCCGNNGGAAGGUGGGGAUGACGUCAAGUCCUCAUGGCCCUUAUAGGNNGGGCUACACACGUACUACAAUGGCGGUGACAAAGGGCGCCGAACCCGUAAGGGUGAGGGAAUCCCUAAAAGCCGCCUCAGUUCGGAUUGUCCUCUGCAACUCGAGGGCAUGAAGUCGGAAUCGCUAGUAAUCGUGGAUCAGCAUGCCACGGUGAAUUCGUUCUCGGGUCUUGUACACACUGCCCGUCACAUCAUGGGAGUUGGUUUUACCUUAAGGCGGUGCGCUAACCGAAAGGGGGCAGCCGACCACGGUAGGAUCAGUGACUGGGGUGAAGUCGUAACAAGGUAAC
rnacentral:rRNA from 1 species